rnacentral:tRNA from 1 species
GCAUCUAUAGCUCAGUUGGAUAGAGCAGCGGUUUCCGAAGCCGUGUGCCGGGGGUUCAAUUCCCUCUAGGUGCACCA